CAAUGGUGUGACUAGUCCUUUGACCUGCGGUAUGUUGGCUAUUCACAGUGAGGCUACUUAACUUGACUGCAUGUUCCCUUGGUCCCUAGCCAUUCGGAUCUUUGCUGUGUAUGUUUGCUAUUGUAGGUUCAGGUUCGUUGUUUGGAGUAGAAUGUACCUAGAUGGAAUCUAUCGAUCUUGAUAGAAAAGAAGAAGUCCUAUACAAUUUGUUAGACUAAGUUUAGAAAAUCUCUAGCUAGAGUAAGUAUGAAUACUGAAAAAAAAAAUUCAUGAGGUUCAUAGAUAAACUACAGUCAAGCCAAUCUAGCAUAUGACUGAUGAUGGGGUUUGAUGAGUUCUCCAUGACCUCCGUCAGAUCGGGACUCAUGAUAGAAGGAUUGUAUCACAUGAUAACUGCACCUAGGGGUUCAUCUUUUCUAUUCUACUGGGUUGCCACUAUAUGUGACUAACAUCACUGGUAGAUCG
rnacentral:lncRNA from 1 species